rnacentral:rRNA from 1 species
UCGGGUUGAGUGGCGGACGGGUGAGUAACGCGUGAGAAUCUGCCUUGGGGUCGGGGACAACCACUGGAAACGGUGGCUAAUACCGGAUAAGCCUUUGCGUAAAAGAUUUAUUGCCCCAAGAGGAGCUCGCGUCUGAUUAGCUAGUUGGUGAGGUAAAAGCUCACCAAGGCAGCGAUCAGUAGCUGGUCUGAGAGGACGAUCAGCCACACUGGGACUGAGACACGGACCAGACUCCUACGGGAGGCAGCAGUGGGGAAUUCUCCGUAAUGGGCGAAAGCCUGACGGAGCAAGACCGCGUGAGGGAGGAAGGCUCUUGGGUUGUAAACCUCUUUUCUCAGGGAAGAAGCUCUGACGGUACCUGAGGAAUCAGCCUCGGCUAACUCCGUGCCAGCAGCCGCGGUAAUACGGAGGAGGCAAGCGUUAUCCGGAAUUAUUGGGCGUAAAGCUGUCCGCAGGUGGCGAUUCAAGUCUGCUGUCAAAGCACGGGGCUUAACUCCGUUAAGGCAGUGGAAACUGCAUAGCUAGAGUGCCGUAGGGGUAGAGGGAAUUCCCGGUGUAGCGGUGAACUGCGUAGAGAUCGGGAAGAACAUCGGUGGCGAAAGCGCUCUACUGGGACGGCAACUGACACUCAGGGACGAAAGCUAGGGGAGCGAAUGGGAUUAGAUACCCCAGUAGUCCUAGCUGCAAACGAUGGAUACUAGGUGUAGCUUGUAUCGACCCGAGCUGUGCCGAAGCUAACGCGUUAAGUAUCCCGCCUGGGGAGUACGCACGCAAGUGUGAAACUCAAAGGAAUUGACGGGGGCCCGCACAAGCGGAGGAACAUGUGGUUUAAUUCGAUGAUACGCGAGGAACCUUACCUGGGCUUAAAUGUAGGCUGCAUGAAGUAGAAAUACUUCUUUCCUUCGGGACUGCUUACAAGGUGCUGCAUGGUUGUCGUCAGCUCGUGCCGUGAGGUGUCGGGUUAAGUCCCAUUACGAGCGCAACCCUUAUCGUUAGUUGCUAGCAGGUAAAGCUGAGGACUCUAGCGAGACUGCCACCGUAAGGUGAGAGGAAGGUGGGGAUGACGUCAAAUCAGCACGGCCCUUAUGUCCAGGGCUACACACGUGUUACAAUGGCCGGUACAGAGGGAAGC